rnacentral:rRNA from 1 species
AUACGGAGGAUGCAAGCGUUAUCCGGAUUUAUUGGGUUUAAAGGGUGCGUAGGCGGUUUGCUAAGCGGGAGGUGAAAUGCCGGUGCUCAACGUCGGAAGUGCCUCCCGAACUGGUGGACUGGAAUGACUCUGCCGUGGGAGGAAUGUGUAGUGUAGCGGUGAAAUGCUUAGAGAUUACACAGAACACCGAUUGCGAAGGCAUCUCACGAAGGGUUGAUUGACGCUGAGGCACGAAAGCGUGGGGAUCAAACAGGAUUAGAUACCCUGGUAGUCCACGCAGUAAACGAUGGACACUCGUGGUCGGCGACACACUGCCGGUCACCAAGCGAAAGCGAUAAGUGUCCCACCUGGGGAGUACGCCGGCAACGGUGAAACUCAAAUGAAUUGACGGGG